rnacentral:rRNA from 1 species
UAGUCCACGCCGUAAACGAUCAUCACUCGUUAUUAGCGAUACACAGUUAGUAACCAAGCGAAAGCAUUAAGUGAUGCACCUGGGGAGUACGUCGGCAACGAUGAAACUCAAAGGAAUUGACGGGGGCCCGCACAAGCGGUGGAGUAUGUGGUUUAAUUCGAAGCAACGCGCAGAACCUUACCUACCCUUAACAUUCCAGGACAACCUCAGAGAUGGGGCUUUCCCUUCGGGGACCUGGGGAUAGGUGCUGCAUGGCUGUCGUCAGCUCGUGUCGUAGGAUGUUUGGUUAAGUCCAAUAACGAGCGCAACCCUUAUCUUCUAGUUACCAUCAUUAAGUUGGGGACUCUAGAGAGACUGCCGGUGUUAAACCGGAGGAAGGCGGGGAUGACGUCAAGUCCUCAUGGCCCUUACGGGUAGGGCUACACACGUACUACAAUGGCAGAAACAAACAGUUGCGAGACCGCGAGGUGGAGCUAAUCUGUAAACACUGUCUCAGUCCGGAUUGGAGUCUGCAACUCGACUCC